rnacentral:lncRNA from 1 species
AUAUAUACAAGAAUGGAAGUCUAGAGAGAGAGAGAGAGAGAAACCUCUAGUUUCCGUAUUGCUGCCUCAGCUUUCGCCUUCUGCAGGUUCUCCCAAGCAGUGAUUUUGGCUUCCUCUCUUUUAACUCUGAAGAAAGACAACAGGUUGACAUUUCAAUAUUAGUAUAGAUAUGUAUCAGUCCACAUUUUAAAAUAUCACAUCAUUUAAUGAUAUUGAUCAUAAAUCUCUAUAUUUUCGACUAGUGACAAUUAGGCAGGAAAUUUGACCAAACAAAAGGCCAACCAAUCAAUAUUUAUUGAGAUCGCAACGUACUUUUAGUGUAUGGAAAAGAUAGGAAUUUACUCUUUGGUUAUGGCAUUUUCUUCAGAGUUCAAAUCAAUCCAAUUUUCCAUACAAAGUUUUUGACACUCUCAAUGUAUUUUUCUUUCAUCUUCUCAGAAAUAAAUAAUGCACAAUGGUAAAAUUGCGUGGCAAACAUACUUUGAAAUGUUCUUCGAUGAGUCAGAAAGAUCCCAAGCAGCAGACCGAGCGUCUGCAUCUUUCUUUUUCCAAUUAUCAAUAAUAUC